rnacentral:rRNA from 1 species
AGUGAACGCUGGCGGUAGGCCUAACACAUGCAAGUCGAACGGCAGCACAGUAAGAGCUUGCUCUUACGGGUGGCGAGUGGCGGACGGGUGAGGAAUACAUCGGAAUCUACUUUUUCGUGGGGGAUAACGUAGGGAAACUUACGCUAAUACCGCAUACGACCUACGGGUGAAAGCAGGGGGUCUUCGGACCUUGCGCGACUGAAUGAGCCGAUGUCGGAUUAGCUAGUUGGCGGGGUAAAGGCCCACCAAGGCGACGAUCCGUAGCUGGUCUGAGAGGAUGAUCAGCCAAACUGGAACUGAGACACGGCCCAGACUCCUACAGGAGGCAGCAGUGGGGAAUAUUGGACAAUGGGCGCAAGCCUGAUCCAGCCAUACCGAGUGGGUGAAGAAGGCCUUCGGGUUGUAAAGCCCUUUUGUUGGGAAAGAAAAGCAGCAGGUUAAUACCCCGCUGUUCUGACGGUACCCAAAGAAUAAGCACCGGCUAACUUCGUG